UGGAAAGUCGUGUAAGGUAUACAGCAGGUUUUUGACACCUGUUCAUUAGGUUCGAUUCCUUUCUCUCCAA
rnacentral:tRNA from 1 species